AUGAACGCUAGCUACAGGCUUAACACAUGCAAGUCGAGGGGCAGCAUGAACUUAGCUUGCUAAGUUUGAUGGCGACCGGCGCACGGGUGAGUAACACGUAUCCAACCUGCCGAUGACUCGGGGAUAGCCUUUCGAAAGAAAGAUUAAUACCCGAUGGCAUAGUUCUUCCGCAUGGUAGAACUAUUGAAGAAUUUCGGUCAUCGAUGGGGAUGCGUUCCAUUAGGUUGUUGGCGGGGUAACGGCCCACCAAGCCUUCGAUGGAUAGGGGUUCUGAGAGGAAGGUCCCCCACAUUGGAACUGAGACACGGUCCAAACUCCUACGGGAGGCAGCAGUGAGGAAUAUUGGUCAAUGGACGAGAGUCUGAACCAGCCAAGUAGCGUGAAGGAUGACUGCCCUAUGGGUUGUAAACUUCUUUUAUACGGGAAUAAAGUGAGGCACGUGUGCCUUUUUGUAUGUACCGUAUGAAUAAGGAUCGGCUAACUCCGUGCCAGCAGCCGCGGUAAUACGGAGGAUCCGAGCGUUAUCCGGAUUUAUUGGGUUUAAAGGGAGCGUAGGCGGACGCUUAAGUCAGUUGUGAAAGUUUGCGGCUCAACCGUAAAAUUGCAGUUGAUACUGGGUGUCUUGAGUACAGUAGAGGCAGGCGGAAUUCGUGGUGUAGCGGUGAAAUGCUUAGAUAUCACGAAGAACUCCGAUUGCGAAGGCAGCUUGCUGGACUGUAACUGACGCUGAUGCUCGAAAGUGUGGGUAUCAAACAGGAUUAGAUACCCUGGUAGUCCACACAGUAAACGAUGAAUACUCGCUGUUUGCGAUAUACAGUAAGCGGCCAAGCGAAAGCGUUAAGUAUUCCACCUGGGGAGUACGCCGGCAACGGUGAAACUCAAAGGAAUUGACGGGGGCCCGCACAAGCGGAGGAACAUGUGGUUUAAUUCGAUGAUACGCGAGGAACCUUACCCGGGCUUGAAUUGCAACUGAAUGAUGUGGAGACAUGUCAGCCGCAAGGCAGUUGUGAAGGUGCUGCAUGGUUGUCGUCAGCUCGUGCCGUGAGGUGUCGGCUUAAGUGCCAUAACGAGCGCAACCCUUAUCGAUAGUUACCAUCAGGUUAUGCUGGGGACUCUGUCGAGACUGCCGUCGUAAGAUGUGAGGAAGGUGGGGAUGACGUCAAAUCAGCACGGCCCUUACGUCCGGGGCUACACACGUGUUACAAUGGGGGGUACAGAAGGCAGCUACACGGCGACGUGAUGCUAAUCCCUAAAGCCUCUCUCAGUUCGGAUUGGAGUCUGCAACCCGACUCCAUGAAGCUGGAUUCGCUAGUAAUCGCGCAUCAGCCACGGCGCGGUGAAUACGUUCCCGGGCCUUGUACACACCGCCCGUCAAGCCAUGAAAGCCGGGGGUACCUGAAGUGCGUAACCGCAAGGAGCGCCCUAGGGUAAAACUGGUGAUUGGGGCU
rnacentral:rRNA from 1 species